rnacentral:lncRNA from 1 species
UAUGAAGGCAGCCAUUAGGCAAGGGACAUCUGAGAUGGGCACUGCAAGCAUGUUCAAGAAAACACCUCUUCUGCCAGCUAGAGGCUCCCCCGCCCAGUGGAGGAGGAAUCAAAUUCCACCAUCUUUAAUCUGGCUACACCAUAUUUGAAUAAUAAUCCUGAAAUUCACAUUGAUGCUCAAGAAGUCGCUUCUUCAAAACUUUAA